CUAUAUAGUAUGUGGAAGAUCCAAAUAACGCUAACAAGGCACGUCUCAGCCCGUGUUAAGAGUUAUAAUGCACUAGAUCCAGCAUAGAAACGAGAAGGGAUAAGGGAUUUGAUAUGAUUUACCUACAUAAUGGGAGAAACGUUCGAGUUUCACAACCUGGCCAGUAUCUGAAACUUUUAUCUAAGGUAUGAUCCUUUGAUCCCUUAUUUUCUUUAGUUGAUAAUGCAUCACCGCAGCAAAUACUAAUCCAAUGGAAGAGCCUAAAAGGAUCUGUGUGUGUGUGUUGUCUGAUGUGGAAAAACUUUUAAUCAUUGAUCAUGCAACGCAGACUUAUACAAUAGCAAAAAAACUAAGCUUUAUAUCCAAUAAAUUUGAGGUGGGGUCGAGUAGGCUAUCUGAAUCCUUCUUUACCAUGUAUAUUGUAUGCAUGAAAUAUGUUACCAGUCAUACAGAAUGUUCACUUGGACCUCUUGUAUUACACGUGGCGAUCAUCCAAGAACUACAUCUGAGAGUAGUUGCGAUUAAAUGCUAAGGUCUUCACACUAAGAUCAGCUGAGGUGGUCCUACCUUUGCUUGUCUCUUGUAGUCGAACUCCUUGGAGUAUUCGAAGCCCUUAGCAGGUUUAGCUGGG
rnacentral:lncRNA from 1 species